ACAAACUUGGUCAUUUAGAGGAAGUAAAAGUCGUAACAAGGUUUCCGUAGGUGAACCUGCGGAAGGAUCAUUAUUGAGUUUUAAAGUUCUAUAGUUAACUGUCUUGUGCAGUUGAUUGUAGUUCUUUUCUUAUCUCUUAUCCCUUUUGUUAUUAUUUCUUAGUUGCUUUGGCAGUUGUUUUUCAACUGCCAAGGGAUAUUUAUUCAAACUCUUUUGUUACCAAGAUAAUUGGAUAUGAUAGUCAGAAUAUAAUAGUUUUAAUAAUUAAAAACUUUCAACAAUGGAUCUCUUGGUUCUGGCAUCGAUGAAGAACGCAGC
rnacentral:misc_RNA from 1 species